rnacentral:lncRNA from 1 species
AUAGGGAAGAGAGCGAGAGGGAAGAGAGGGAGAGGGACAGCGAAUGGGAACACAAGGCACGCAUGAAAACAGCUCUGAAGAAAUGGUAAAGUGGACACUUGGACAUUCAAAGUGCGAGCGCCCAGCGACCGGUGGGUAUUACUUGGGAUCGGCGCUUUCUCAGUUUGGUCCAUAUUUGAAAGAAACUGAAUCAUCUAACUGCCAGUGUGGGGCUCUGUUGAAUGCCUGAUUAUGGUGGCAGUCACUGGGCAUGGAGAAAGACAGAUACACAAAGACGGGCAGCAAUGAAAUAUCCGCAGGCGUUUGGUGGAAAAACAUAUGGUUUGAUUAUGCUUAUUGAUACACACACCUAAACCCAUAGAAUGUAAAAACAGCCCCUGCAUCUCUGUUUACAUGUCACCCUAUUGUACUGUACAUCGUGUAUCCCUCUAUCAGUUCUAUCUGUCUGCAAAGGAAAAGAAUCAUUCCUAAACACACAUUUCUCUUCACCUCUUAAAACAUUAGCUUUUGAUAAAUAUAGGCAAAGCUUUUAUUUAAAAUCUGUGAAACAGCAUGUUUUCAAAAGUGAAAGAGGACCGAUUACAGACAGCUGUGGCACUCCAAAUGUGGCUCUCCACCCCAUGGUUAGGACAGCAGUUAGUGAGGGACUUCCUGCAUGGAAAGCUGUGUAUGUUUUCCUUCAAUGAAUUGAACAUCCUGCAGAUCUUAAAUUCCAGUCAGCAGUAAACUCCCUGACCUCUGAGCACAAAAUUAGGCACAUCAUACAAGCAAAAGACAAAAGGGAAAGGAAGGACUUCAAAUCAGAACAGAAAGACAGAGAUAAAAGAAAGAUAGAGACAGGGAGAAUGAGGGAUGAUUCAAACUUACACAUCUUCUGUGUUGGACUUUUCAUAAAUAUACAUUGUAUGAAAAGGAAACAAGUGUACAUGAUUAAUUAUAGGCUAUAUAAGCAAAGUUUUUUUUUUCAACAGCAGAAAAUUUAUAAGAUAGUCAUAGUUUGUAAAGUACACAACCUAUUUCUAGC